rnacentral:lncRNA from 1 species
AUGGUGAACACCCGGAAGAGCUCCCUGCGGCUUCUCGGCUCCAAGUCUCCCGGGCCUGGGCCUGGGCCUGGGGCCGGAGCGGAGCCCGGGGCGGCCGGCGGCAGCAGCCAUUUCAUCUCCUCUCGGACCCGCUCCUCCAAGACCCGCGCUGCCAGCUGCCCGGCCGCCAAGGCCGGGGGAGGCAGUGGCGCCGGGGUCGCCGCGGACGAGGCCCGGAAAGCAGAAGUUGAUGGUAGCUUAAGUGACAGCCAUGUAUCUCCUCCAGCCAAACGCACUUUGAAACAACCAGAUUCUGUUUGCAAAGACAAAUCAAAAUCACGAAGUACUGGCCAGCGAGAGGAAUGGAACAUAUCAGCUGGACAGGCCAGGUGAGAAGGGAGAACUCAUUCAUUUUUUCAUGAAUUAUUUGAUGUGAGUCAGGGCUGAUGUUAAUCCUAAUUUUCUUAACUUCUGAAAAAAAAUGUAUAUUUAUUUACAAAUUUUGUUAAGUUUAUAAUUUUUUUUUUGGUACUGGGGAUCAAACUUAGGACCAUGCGCUUGCUAGGCAGGCAGCAGAACCACUGAGCUAAAUCUCCGGCCCCUAAGUUUAUAAUUUUUGUGUAAUUUUAUUUUCUCUAUGCUGUAGUGUGUGUGUGUGUGUGUGUGUGUGUGUGUUUUGUUUUUUUUUGGUAUUGAGUACCUUGCACUUGCAAGGCAGGCACGGUGCCACUGAGCUAAAUGCCCGGGCCAAUGUAUUUGGUUUCUUUUUUUUUUGUAGUUUGUCUUAAUGAGAUAUAUGUGAUAGAAAUUAUGUAAUAUUAGGGCCGGGGAUUUAGCUCAGUGGUUUUGCUGCCAGCUGUGCAAGCGCAAGGACCUGAGUUCAAUCCUAGUACCCCAAAAAAUAAAAAAACGAAUUAUGUAAUAAUAUAUUACAAAAGGAAUAAGGAUUUUGAUAGUUUUGAGCAUGCUUUCAUAUUUAUAGUCCUGAAAAUUUCAAUAAAACAUAGAAUUAGGUUUAUAUUUUUUAUUGGAAAAUAAAAUCUCUCCCUUCUAAGAUUUUUGAAUAUUUUACUUGAAUGUAAUGAAAUUUUAAUUUUAGGCGUUUGUGUGUGCGUUUGUGUGUGUGUGUGUGUGUGUGGUACUGGGGAUCAAACUCGGGACCUUGCGCUUGCUAGGCAGGUGGUGGCACCACUGAGCUAAAUCCCUGGCCCAUGAAAUUUUAAUUUUAAAGAAAUCUUUUCAUCUAUGAUCUUUUUUUUUUUGGUACUAGGGAUCGAACUUGGGACCUUUCCCUUGUGAGGCAGGCGCCAGAACCACUGAGCUAAAUCCCCGGCCCGCCCUGUGAUCGUGUUCUGAACUUAAACUUCGUUGUGUUUUUCAAUAUAUAUAAAAAAACUUGGGGGUAGGGAUUUAGCUCAGUGGUUUCACUGCCUGCUGCGCAAGCCCAAGGACCCAAGUUUGAUCCCCGGUACCUAAAAAAAAAAAAAAAAAAAACCAAAACACUUUACUCAGC